UACGGAGGGCGCGAGCGUUGUCCGGAAUCACUGGGCGUAAAGAGCGCGCAGGCGGUCGUUCAAGUCGCGUGUGAAAGCCCCCGGCUCAACUGGGGAGGGUCACGCGAUACUGAUCGACUCGAAGGCAGGAGAGGGUAGUGGAAUUCCCGGUGUAGUGGUGAAAUGCGUAGAUAUCGGGAGGAACACCAGUGGCGAAGGCGACUACCUGGCCUGUUCUUGACGCUGAGGCGCGAAAGCUAGGGGAGCAAACGGG
rnacentral:rRNA from 1 species